rnacentral:rRNA from 1 species
AAGCAAGAGGACCCGCCGAAUUUC